GACGAACGCUGGCGGCGUGCUUAACACAUGCAAGUCGAGCGGUAAGGCCCUUUCGGGGGUACACGAGCGGCGAACGGGUGAGUAACACGUGGGUGACCUGCCCUCAGCUCUGGGAUAAGCCUGGGAAACCGGGUCUAAUACUGGAUAUGACUCCAUGACGCAUGUUGUGGGGUGGAAAGCCUUGUGCGGCUGAGGAUGGGCCCGCGGCCUAUCAGCUUGUUGGUGGGGGUGANGGCCUACCAAGGCGACGACGGGUAGCCGGCCUGAGAGGGCGACCGGCCACACUGGGACUGAGACACGGCCCAGACUCCGUACGGGAGGCAGCAGGUGGGGAAUCUUGCGCAAUGGGACGAAAGCCUGACGCAGCGACGCCGCGUGGAGGAUGAC
rnacentral:rRNA from 1 species